AUCCAAUUAUGUUCUCAGAACAGCAUACGAGCUCAAUGUAAGAUUUGCCACGGACAGCGUAGAGCUGGUGACGGAGCAACCCAGACUUAGUGUGAUUGAAGUCUUCGGCUACAUUGGCGGCUAUCUAGGAAUAUGGCUUGGGUUUUCUUUACUUCAAGCCCUCGAGUACUACCACAAUUUAAUCAGGCGCAAAGCUGCAAACUGUCCCUGGCUUUCACGCAACGUACAACGGAAGAAUGCAGACACGCUGAGACGUUCCAACGUAGAAGGCAGAAUUACAGGCAUUUUUUCGGUUUCCAGAGCAGAGAUAAAAUGACUUUUUUGUU